GUAAAGAAGUAAAAAAAAUUACAUUUAGUUUCGACCUAAAAAUAAGAUAAAAUCCGUACUUU
rnacentral:tRNA from 1 species